CAUGCAGUAGAACGCUGAAGACUGGUGCUUGCACUAGUCAGAUGAGUUGCGAACGGGUGAGUAACGCGUAGGUAACCUACCUCAUAGCGGGGGAUAACUAUUGGAAACGAUAGCUAAUACCGCAUGACAAUUAAGUACUCAUGUACUAAAUUUAAAAGGAGCAAUUGCUUCACUAUGAGAUGGACCUGCGUUGUAUUAGCUAGUUGGUGAGGUAACGGCUCACCAAGGCCACGAUACAUAGCCGACCUGAGAGGGUGAUCGGCCACACUGGGACUGAGACACGGCCCAGACUCCUACGGGAGGCAGCAGUAGGGAAUCUUCGGCAAUGGGGGCAACCCUGACCGAGCAACGCCGCGUGAGUGAAGAAGGUUUUCGGAUCGUAAAGCUCUGUUGUUAGAGAAGAACGGUAAUGGGAGUGGAAAAUCCAUUACGUGACGGUAACUAACCAGAAAGGGACGGCUAACUACGUGCCAGCAGCCGCGGUAAUACGUAGGUCUCGAGCGUUGUCCGGAUUUAUUGGGCGUAAAGCGAGCGCAGGCGGUUAUUUAAGUCUGAAGUUAAAGGCCGUGGCUCAACCAUGGUUCGCUUUGGAAACUGGAUAACUUGAGUGCAGAAGGGGAGAGUGGAAUUCCAUGUGUAGCGGUGAAAUGCGUAGAUAUAUGGAGGAACACCGGUGGCGAAAGCGGCUCUCUGGUCUGUAACUGACGCUGAGGCUCGAAAGCGUGGGGAGCAAACAGGAUUAGAUACCCUGGUAGUCCACGCCGUAAACGAUGAGUGCUAGGUGUUAGGCCCUUUCCGGGGCUUAGUGCCGCAGCUAACGCAUUAAGCACUCCGCCUGGGGAGUACGACCGCAAGGUUGAAACUCAAAGGAAUUGACGGGGGGCCCGCACAAGCGGUGGAGCAUGUGGUUUAAUUCGAAGCAACGCGAAGA
rnacentral:rRNA from 1 species